rnacentral:rRNA from 1 species
CAGUCGCCACGGGAAUACGUAGGGUGCGAGCGUUAAUCGGAAUUACUGGGCGUAAAGCGUGCGCAGGCGGUUAUAUAAGACAGAUGUGAAAUCCCCGGGCUCAACCUGGGACCUGCAUUUGUGACUGUAUAGCUAGAGUACGGUAGAGGGGGAUGGAAUUCCGCGUGUAGCAGUGAAAUGCGUAGAUAUGCGGAGGAACACCGAUGGCGAAGGCAAUCCCCUGGACCUGUACUGACGCUCAUGCACGAAAGCGUGGGGAGCAAACAGGAUUAGAUACCCCUGUAGUCCCUGUCUCUUAUAC